CCGCCUGUUUAUCAAAAACAUAGUUUUAUGAUUAUAUAUAAAAUAUUUUCUGCCCAAUGUAUUAAAAUAAAUGGCCGCAGUACCUUGACUGUGCUAAGGUAGCGUAAUCAAUUGGCUUUUAAUUGAAGUCUAGUAUGAAAGGGAUAAUGAAAUUUUUCUGUCUUAAAAACUUUAAUUAAAAUUUAUUUAAAAGGUGAAAAUACCUUUUUAAAAAAUAAAGACGAGAAGACCCUAUGAAUUUUUAUUUUUUUUUUGUUGGGGCGACAAUUUAACACUUUAAUCUUAAAUUAUAUAAAUAUAUCGAUUAUAUUAAUUUAAAAAAAAUUACCUUAGGGAUAACAGCAUUAUUGUUAAAACAGUUUGUGACCUCGAUGUUGGACUAGGAACUAUAAGGCUAGCCGUC
rnacentral:rRNA from 1 species